UCUGAGAAGAGGUAAUUCUGAAAAAGUCUAUGUUUCGCCUCCUAGUGUGCCUGAUCCUGAAGGGAAACUUGGUGAAGAAUUGCUGGAUGCUACAGCCAUGAAGCUGUGUUUUCAAAGAAAAUGCUUCAGCACAGGAGCUUGUAGCAUUGUCUGGUGCUCAUACCCUAGGAAGUAAAGGUUUUGGAAACCCAACAGUCUUUGAUAAUUCAUACUUGAAGAUUCUUCUAGAGAAGCCAUGGUCGUCUUCAGGCAGAAUGUCGAGUAUGAUUGGCCUUCCUUCAGACCGUGCUCUUGUUGAGGAUGACGAGUGCAUCAGGUGUGCCUUCCUUAUGACCAUAGUUAGUGCCUGUGUAAACCUGAUUUAGCAUAUGCAGUACAAUUUCCCCCUUAUUUUUGAUGAACAGGUGGAUCUCCAAGUACACUGGUGAUCAAAAUCUGUUCUUCGAAUAUUUUAAGAAUGUCUAUAUCAAACUUGUGAAUACUGGUGCAGAGUGGACUAGAUCUGUGUGAGCUGGUAUGUUGCUGCAGCUAGUCUGGCAUGUUUCAGAAAUAAGGAUCGGUACCGUAGUAAUAGUAACAUUCUUGAGAGAUAAUUAUUCUCCUUGGGAGGAGACUGCUUCAGCUCAUGCGUUAGAGUUACAUAAUAAGUUUGUUUGAAUUGUUAGUAAAAAAAGGUAUGCAAUAACAUGAAAUAAUGAAUGGAUUGUUUAUGUUUU